GCUGCUGAGCCCAUCAUCCAGCAGCUGGACCAGCUCUUCCCGCUCGAUAAACUCAAGGAGCGGCGCCAGUGGAGGGAUGAGAGGCUCAUCGCGUUCGCCGCCCUCCGCGACCAGAUGAAGAGGAAGGAGAAGAGCGACUAGUCCCGCACGAAUGCGUGCCUCCUCUGGAACCUAGCGCUGCUUCUUGCGCUGUUCUAUUUCUUGUCAGUGUAAUAGAUUCAGUCGAGAAAUAAGAUCAUUUAAUAUACUAUUCUUUUGUGUUCUUUUUAUUUCCAUUAUGAAAUGAAUAAAAUGUUGAAGCUUUCA